GCCUUAGCGUCCCCAUAUGUGAUCUGAUAUUCCCUUUUUAGCCCUUUGGUGAAACAUAGAGUGCACCUCUCAGGCCAGGACAUGCUGGGAGACUAAAGGUCUCUGCGCCAGCGACACCAAGCGAUCGGCUCUCGCGUUUCCCUUCCCCAAGCCUACCUCCCAUUUAUGACCUCAAACAUGUAUUGCUGCAUAGGAGUGCUCCCUAAUUCUGAUUGCUCUCUGCAACUGCACGAACAGCUCGUACAGCCGCCGAUUCUGCACUUCCUUUAUGUAGGCCUCCUCUAUUCGGCGGCAUACUCCAGCUACGUCAAGGCAGUCGGUGACACAUUAAGGGGGUUGAUUAAGUCCAUCAUGGCGCAUACAAUGGCCACCAGCUCCAAUGUUUGCAAUGAGCCCUUAUCAUCGGCUGCAAUGAGGUGAUGUCCCCAGCAUCCUGUAGCUCCGGGCUAUGCUGCACAUACCACGUCAGAGUGUCCUUCUGCAUUGGCAGCUGUACACACACAGGCUCCAUACCUGUGAUCUGCAGGAUUGUGCCAACGCUCCUAAAAGGUACUUUGGUCCAUACCGUACCAUAACCCGUAUGGGGAGGUCGGGGUCACGUCUCCGAACACUGCCGUGUAUAAUGCUGUCCAUAAUCUGUUGUUUGUGCUGCGUUGUCACCGUUACAGGCUGGGCCGGGUCAGUGCCCCGUAACAAAGGUCGCAACGACUCUAAGGGUUCGUUUGGGAUGCCCACCACAGGGCGCAGCCACUGCCUCCCCUGGGUUCUCAGCCUCCCACAGUCCCUGACAGGACCCCCAUCACCUUCCCAGGAUCCCCAUAGCCCACCAAGGAGGAACCCCACAGCAAUCCACAUCUCAGGAUGGGGCUCCAGCUGUGCCCCGAUGCGUUCAUUCAAGAGAGGAGAAUGAAUGAGCGUAACGGGGGCACCUUUCCUCCUGACAUUGCCCACCGCCUGCGUGUUGGCU
rnacentral:lncRNA from 1 species